rnacentral:rRNA from 1 species
UUUUCGGAUAGUAAAAUCUGUUGUUGGAGAAGAAUGUAUCUGAUAGUAACUGAUCAGGUAGUGACGGUAUCCAACCAGAAAGCCACGGCUAACUACGUGCCAGCAGCCGCGGUAAUACGUAGGUGGCAAGCGUUGUCCGGAUUUAUUGGGCGUAAAGCGAGCGCAGGCGGUUUCUUAAGUCUGAUGUGAAAGCCUUCGGCUCAACCGAAGAAGUGCAUCGGAAACUGGGAAACUUGAGUGCAGAAGAGGACAGUGGAACUCCAUGUGUAGCGGUGAAAUGCGUAGAUAUAUGGAAGAACACCAGUGGCGAAGGCGGCUGUCUGGUCUGUAACUGACGCUGAGGCUCGAAAGCAUGGGUAGCAAACAGGAUUAGAUACCCUGGUAGUCCAUGCCGUAAACGAUGAGUGCUAGGUGUUGGAGGGUUUCCGCCCUUCAGUGCCGCAGCUAACGCAUUAAGCACUCCGCCUGGGGAGUACGACCGCAAGGUUGAAACUCAAAGGAAUUGACGGGGGCCCGCACAAGCGGUGGAGCAUGUGGUUUAAUUCGAAGCAACGCGAAGAACCUUACCAGGUCUUGACAUCCUUUGACCACUCUAGAGAUAGAGCUUUCCCUUCGGGGACAAAGUGACAGGUGGUGCAUGGUUGUCGUCAGCUCGUGUCGUGAGAUGUUGGGUUAAGUCCCGCAACGAGCGCAACCCUUAUUACUAGUUGCCAGCAUUAAGUUGGGCACUCUAGUGAGACUGCCGGUGACAAACCGGAGGAAGGUGGGGACGACGUCAAAUCAUCAUGCCCCUUAUGACCUGGGCUACACACGUGCUACAAUGGAUGGUACAACGAGUUGCGAGACCGCGAGGUUUAGCUAAUCUCUUAAAACCAUUCUCAGUUCGGAUUGUAGGCUGCAACUCGCCUACAUGAAGCCGGAAUCGCUAGUAAUCGCGGAUCAGCAUGCCGCGGUGAAUACGUUCCCGGGCCUUGUACACACCGCCCGUCACACCAUGAGAGUUUGUAACACCCAAAGCCGGUGAGGUAACCCUUCGGGGAGCCAGCCGUCUAAG